UCCAACUUCACUCGUCACCGUUUCUCAUUUCACCAAUUCACCCUCUGGACUGAGAGGAGAGAUACAGAGCUCAACAAUUCACCAAAGAGGCAGAAGAUAUAGAGAGCCCGAAACCAUUUGAAGCAAACCUGUUUUGUCUGCUACCACUCUAUUCCAAACCUUUUCUCCAACUUCGCUCGUCACCAUUCUUCAUUACCACCAAUUCAACAAAGGAGCAGAAGAGAUAGAGAAGCUUUCAUCAACUUCUGGUCUGACUUGUGUGCCCGAAAUCAUUCGAAGCAAACUUGUUUAGUCUGCUACCGGAGUAGAACAAAAAUAUCACAAUCAGGGCCAAUUUGACAAUUAUCAAGAAAGAGUUCAAGUAGCAGGCAUCUAGGGACAUUUUUGGAAUAUCAGAUCACAACCCUUCUUGGUAAUUGGCCCGAAGACAGCAUUAAAAGGAGGAGGCCGAAGUCUUCUUUUCUCUCUCGGCUGGGCGGCGGACGCCGCACAGUAGGCAUUAGAAUAGGAGCAAUAGCUUAGCUUUUGAUUUUUCAUCUCUUAGUUUAGCCUAGUUUCUUUGACUUUUCCAUCUUUUCGUCAUCUAGUAGGAACUUUUCCUCCUUAGCUUUUGAUAGUGGAGUUCUCCUGUGCAUGUCAGGAGCCUUACGAGGAAUUGCAUCAUUGUUUGUAGUUGCUGGUUUCUUCUUA